AUGCUUCCAGGUGCUGGUGGAGCGGCAGGUGGCGGCGGCGCGCUGGGGCACAUCCGCGCGGCGGCCGGGGCCAACUUCUUCCUCGGCUUGGCGUUGGCCGCAAUGGCGCUCGUCGUCGCCACUCGCCACCAGCUACCACCCCAGCGACCUCCACGUCCACGCCCAGAUCGGUCACGCGGCGGCGCCGGCCGCGUACGCCGGGGAAACCCAGCAGCAGCACUGCGCGGCCACGGAGGCGGAGGCGCUGGACCUGCGCAAGACGGCGCUGAUGCUGGUGCUCUCGGGGCUGGCUCAGGCAAUGAUUGCCGCGGCGGCCGACUUGGCCCUGGCGUGGGACGGUGGCAUUCUGGGCCGGCUCUUCGCCGUCGUGGCGCCCCUCGUCGGCGCCAUGAACGUCUAUUCCAUCUGCUAUGUCGUCCACGGGGUGGCAGUCGUCGCCGGCGGGCACUGCGCCGCUGGGUACCUGUACCUCCCCGACUUCGGCUCCUACUUGGCCAUCGCCGUGUCCUACGCCGUUCUGCUCAUCGUCAGCCUCGUCGUCACCCUUUGCGGAAUUCUGUUGGGGAGAAAAGCAAGUGCAAAGAGGAUGGGGGCUCUACAACAAUCAGUUGCAAGGCUCCUGCCUCCUCCUCUCGCCUUCUCCUAGCAGCAAGGCGACAUCAUCAAUGGACAGCGUUUCACUCAUCGUCCUCCUCUUCCUCACCCCACCACAAAAGCCGCAGGCCCGACUCGCUGCCGGCUUCUUCCGUCAGGUCAACUGCAGCAUAUAUAUACAGAACAGAGGGUGAACCAAACACCAGCAUGUCACCGGCAGUGAGCAGGCUGCAUAUAAACGGGAGGCUGUACGUAGAUGGCAUGGCACCAGGCACCGGCGACGCGGACCUCCGCCGCCACUUCGGUCGCUACGGGGACGUGGCCGACAUCUGCAUUCCCACGCACCGCCUCACUGGCCAACCCCGUUGCUGCGCCUUUGUCCAGUUCUCUAGUCCUCGUGACGCUGGGUGCGCCCUCGCCGACCCACACCAUGUCAUCAACGGCCGGGAGGUGUACGUUGCAAGGGCACGGCCAAGACAUUUAGAAGAAUCGAGUGUGCCCCGUGUCCAACCAAACAACAGCAUGACACCAGCGAUGAGCAGGCUGCAUAUAAACGGGAGGCUGUACUUAGAUGACAUGGCACCAGGCACCAGUGACGCGGACCUCCGCCGCCACUUCGGUCGCUAUGGGGACGUGGCUGACAUCUUCAUUCCCACGUACAGCCUCACGGGCCAGCCCCGCUGCUGCGCCUUUGUCCAGUUCUCUAGCCCCGAUGAUGCUGGCCGCGCCCUCGCUGACCCACACCAUGUCAUCAACGGCCGGGAGGUGUACAUUGGAAGGGCAGAACCAAGACAUUUAGAAGAAUCGAGUGUGUGCCAGUACAAGCCUCUCUGCAAGCGGCAAAUCCGGGAUGGUCAAUGGCGUGGAUAUCGGGUUGGCGACAUCGGCAAGACAUCCUUCGGUCCGAUCGUGUAUGACUCCAUCAUAACAUAUAUCUCGGAGGAUGGUGUUGACUGUUGGUGCCUGCCAGUAACAAUGCACACUGAGAGCAAGUCUACCGGGUACGGGCCAAGAAAACAUUGA
rnacentral:rRNA from 1 species